GAGGAAGGUGGGGAUGACGUCAAGUCAUCAUGGCCCUUACGAGUAGGGCUACACACGUGCUACAAUGGGAAGUACAGAGGGCCGCUAAGCCGCGAGGUGGAGCAAAUCCCACAAAACUUCUCGUAGUCCGGAUCGGAGUCUGCAACUCGACUCCGUGAAGUCGGAAUCGCUAGUAAUCGCGAAUCAGAAUGUCGCGGUGAAUACGUUCCCGGGCCUUGUACACACCGCCCGUCACACCAUGGGAGUGGGCUGCACCAGAAGCCGGUAGUCUAACCGCAAGGAGGACGCCGUCCACGGUGUGGUUCAUGACUGGGGUGAAGUCGUAACAAGGUAGCCGUAA
rnacentral:rRNA from 1 species